rnacentral:rRNA from 1 species
AUGGGAACGCGAAGAACCUUACCUAGACUUGACAUCUUCUGCAUUAAUCGUAAUGGAUGAAAUCCCUUCGGGGACAGAAUGACAGGUGGUGCAUGGUUGUCGUCAGCUCGUGUCGUGAGAUGUUGGGUUAAGUCCCGCAACGAGCGCAACCCCUAUUAUUAGUUGCUAACAUUAAGUUGAGCACUCUAGUGAGACUGCCCGGGUUAACCGGGUAGGAAGGUGGGGAGUGACGUCAAAUCAUCAUGCCCCUUACUGUCUAGGGCUACACACGUGCUACAAUGGUGGGAACAAAGAGAUGCAAUACCGCGAGGUGGAGCUAAACUCAAAACCCCAUCCCAGUUCGGAUUGUAGGCUGAAACUCGCCUACAUGAAGCUGGAGUUGCUAGUAAUCGCGAAUCAGAAUGUCGCGGUGAAUACGUUCCCGGGUC